rnacentral:rRNA from 1 species
UACGUAGGCAGCAAGCGUUGUUCGGAGUUACUGGGCGUAAAGGGUGCGUAGGCGGCUUUUUAAGUUUGGUGUGAAAUCUCCCGGCUCAACUGGGAGGGUGCGCCGAAUACUGAGAGGCUAGAGUGCGGGAGAGGAAAGUGGAAUUCCUGGUGGUAGACGGUGAAAUGCGCAGAUAUCAGGAGGAACACCAGCGGCGAAGGCGGUGCUCUGGGCCGGAACUGACACUGAGGAGCGAAAGCGUGGGUAGCAAACAGG